CGUAACACGUGGGAAUAUACAUAUCGGUAAGGAAUAACACAGAGAAAUUUGUGCUAAUACCUUAUAAUGACUCCGGUCCAAAGAUUUAUCGCCGAUGGAUUAGCCCGCGCUAGAUUAGUUUGUUGGUGAGGUAAAAGCUCACCAAGACUACGAUCUAUAGCUGGUCUUAGAGGAUGAUCAGCCACACUGGAACUGAGACACGGUCCAGACUCCUACGGGAGGCAGCAGUGAGGAAUAUUGCGCAAUGGAGGAAACUCUGACGCAGCCAUGCCGCGUGAAUGAAGAAGGCCCUAGGGUUGUAAAAUUCUUUCAGAUGCGAAGAUAAUGACGGUAACAUCAGAAGAAGCUCCGGCUAAAUUCGUGCCAGCAGCCGCGGUAAUACGAAUGGAGCGAGCGUUGUUCGGAAUCAUUGGGCGUAAAGCGUAUGUAGGCGGACUUGAAAGUCGGGAGUGAAAUCCCAGGGCUCAACCCUGGAACUGCUUCCGAAACUUCAAGUCUAGUAUCCCGGAGGGGUUGACGGAAUUCCGAGUGUAGAGGUGAAAUUCGCAGAUAUUCGGAGGAACACCAGUGGCGUAGGCGGUCAACUGGACGGGUAUAGACGCUGAGAUACGAAAGCGUGGGUAGCAAACAGGAUUAGAUA
rnacentral:rRNA from 1 species